CCUAGCGAGGCAGCGAGCAGCAGACAGCAGCCGCGCAGGCAGGUGAGUCCGCCGCCGCCGCCCGCCCCGUCGCCCGCGGCCCCGCGCCCCCCGGCCUCCGCCCGUCCGCCGACCGCCGCUCACGCCUCACCCCGUCGCGGCGUCUCCCGUCCGGCCGUCCCCCGCUGGCGCCUGGCGCCUGGCGGCUUGCUGCUCGCCUGCUCGCGCCCGGCCCCUUGCUGCCUUGCUGGCCCUGCUGCAGUGCUGCUGCUCCGCUGCUCGCCGGCUUCCCGGCUCGCCCGCUCUGCUCCGGCCUCUCCUGGCUUCUGGUCUGAAGUCUGCUGGAUUGAAUAAAAGAUGAAGAGCUAUUUUUCAUCUGUGGCAGCAACAGAAGUGUCUACACCUGGGGUUUUAGCCGGAGGAAAUGAAGGAGCUGAGAGGAGUGAAGCAACUCCAGAAAAUGAAACCAAUGCAGAAAUGGGACCACCGCCUUUGACUUCAAACAACCCGCCUUCAAUCUCAACUCGAGAAAGUAAUAUUCCAGAUUCUGCUCGUGGUCAACUGAGGGAAGGUGAUAUUCAACCUGAUCCUCGUCUUAGGAAACCUAUUGAAAGCAAUGGGACCACCGCCUUUAUCCGGACAUUAGAGAUGUUGCUAGAAGGAUGUAUGUAAAUAUGGGUCCAUGCCAACCAACUGGGCAUAAAUUUAAAAAAGAAACUAGAGGAACAUCUUUGAAAAAGAGAUCCUUUCAAGCUAAAUGGUUCGGGAAGCAUUCCGAUUGGUUGGAAUAUAGUGUUGCUAAGGAGGCGGCCUUUUGUUUCUCACUACACCACGACACUACAUUCCCUACAGACAUGUGUUGAAAAAAGAUACUAUCGCCGUCCAACAGUUGAUUGGGAAAUGUUGUAACAGAUAGUUGGUUGGGAAAACCAAUAAACAGUAGCAGACCAUCGGACGGGAAUACCCGAACAUUUAAUGUCGAACUGUGGGUUGGGAAAGCUCGCACACACAUCCAUUGAUCGGUCGGGAAAUAACCCCGACCAAUGGUCUGUGCCAAAUGGGCCUGCGCGCGUAGAGAAAAAAUAGCGCCAACAUUUGGCCCAAGCCCGCGAAAGUUCCCCCCAACGCAUAAGGCAAGCGGAGCCAAAUCCCUAAUUCCCCUUUCCCAUUCCCCACGCGCGCCGCCCUGGGCUCUCCGCCGCCGCCACCGCUUUCUUCUCCACGCGCCACCGCGCCAUUCUAUCGCCCCCGCACGAACCUGCUGGACUGCUGCCCCACACCGCCUGCCCCCACGCGCUCGAACCCUCUCCUCUGCCCCGGUGCUCUCCCCUGACCACAAGAACUCUGGCGUCGUCACCGUCAUGGCGCGCGCCGGGCAGAUCCCAGGGAAGACGGGGUUCAACCUGCUGCAGAGGGACGUUGCCCUGUACUAGAAGACUGUGCCGGCCGUGGUGAAGCACUCCUCGGAGGCGCUGCUGCUCGUGGUGUCCAACCCCGUCGAUGUCUUCGCCUACCUCGCCUUGCAACUUUCAGGGUUGGGUUCCAGGCGAGCGGCGUCAUUUGCUCCUCCAGGUUCUGGUUCCUCAUCAACGAGCCCCCCGCCAUCAACACACAGGACGUGCAGAAGAAGGUAGCAAAUGCAACAGGCCUUCCAGAAAAUCUUCAUGUACUAAUAUUCUCAUAGAAAAUUCUUCAUUGCCAUAUAUAUUUUCCAUUGAUAUAUCAUUAAGCAUCAGUUGUAUGCUUUACGAGUAGAAGUUGCUGCCUGGCUUCACAUGCUACUUGUCAUCCACUUUAAAGCGUGCUUGUGCUUCACGCCUUACCAGGAAGGAGUUCGGUUAACUGAAUUUUUCUGCAUGCAUGCUUUCUCUGAACUGACUGAACACCAUGUCUGAAUUUUGCUGUCUGCAUGCUUGCCUCGCUGUUGCACAAACCAUAUGUAGGAGGUCUCUGUCAAAAGAAUGAAAUGAUCACCUACAAAAAUGGUUCCAUCCAUCCUUUAGUGCUGGCACUAUGAAUGUACUUGCUUGGUUCCAUUUUAGUUCAGAAGACAUGCUCCUGAACAAACAUGCUACCAUUGUUAUGCGCAGUUUCGUGCUAUUUGACGUAUGAACACUUAACUAAAAGCAAGAGUGCACGAAAUCUUGAGGCAUAGUUAGUGCUGAUGACAGCCACUCCUUAAUUUACCCACCACUCUUCGGAGUCUUCAAAUUGAACUUUUGUUCAGUUAAUUCUGAAAGAAUUACCUUAACCAUUACUAGUUGCUAUUUGAUUGAUUACAUUCAUCGGGAUAUGAGCGCGAUGAACAUGUAUUGCCGCUGGUGAGGUGUAUUGGUCACGUGACAUGCUAGCUUGAGGUUUUCAGUGGAAACCUACAACACAACAGACUUCUCUUUUGCUAGUUGCAACCAUAAUCAAGGGUAUGAAGAUCGGAAAAGAUAAGACUAUAUAGAGGCCACGUAGCAAAGGACAUUACGGUGAGCCAAAAGGUCACAAAAUUGUAUAUCCUCCUUUUUAAUAUUAGCAACCCAAUGUUGAGAGCAUUUCUCAAAUGCAGCUCCCAUAUGCUUCUGUACAAAGGACAUGUAGGAUUUUUUUAGCCCGACCAACAUUUGAAAACAAAGGCAGGACAUCAGUCGAUGAUAGUAAAGUCCCUAGAAAUUCAGUAGAUGUUAUUUGUCCAGUUUACACUCAUGUUUAAUUUCUGCAUAGUUUGUUUCCUAAUUUCCUUUCCCAUGUAAUUAUUAUGUUGUUAUUCUACAUUCUGCACAGUACUUAUCAGAUUCAAGGCAGUAGUUAUAUAGUUGAUUAGUUGUUGCAAUUUGUGCUACAUAUAUAUGUAGAUUUGUGAAAGUAUUUCUAAAUAGCAAUAAUGUUAGGCAAGGUGCGGGUGAUGUCCUGCCUCCUUCUCUGUUCAAUUUGCACUCCUGCCAGUGUCCUCACAUAAUAAAUCUAAUUAAAUGAAGUCGAUAUAUUGCUAUAUCUUCUGGACCAAAUGUUACCCAUGUUAUGAAUAUUGAUCUGCAAUAGCAUGUCCUUAAUUGAAAUUCCAUGUAUAGUAUUUGUCAAAAGAUGGAAAUAGCAGAAUCUUUGUCGCAAUGUUUUAUAGUUUCAUACUUCCAUUUAUCAGAGACAAUACUGCUUGAAAGUAUCAUAACUCCACUGAGAGUGAAUGAGUUUUAACCAGGAGUGUUGUGCUGUAGGAUUCCCAAACCACCACAGUGCCCCCUUCAACCGCGAACCGGUUUAUUGAUGCGCCUCCGCAACCUUACAGGCCGCCGUAGUCCAUGCAGCAGCUAGCAGCAAGGCCCAUUGACGUCGCCGCACAGUCCAGUAAACAACUUUGGCGAUGCUCACAAUAGGCAGUGACGCCAUGUGGUGGUGUGGAGCGUUGGGGUCGAUGUUCAAUCUGGAGGAUUUUCUCCAAUGAGAUGUAGAAUGAAGGCUUUGAUGUCAAGUACGAGAAUGAUGCAAGGAUGUUGGUGGAAGGCUGUGAGGAUGGGUAUUGCCCACUACAAGGAGCAGGCAGAUGAUGUGCCUCUUAGACAAAUUCCAGAAAACAACGCAAGGAAUUUUUGCUCACACAAUGAACCAUAAUGUCUCCUCUAUUUCAUUAGUUACAUCAGUUUGCAGGAAACUUGGAUGGUCACUGGUUCAUAACAGAUGAACUAUUUAUAUGUGAAAAUUAAUGUGUGUUAUUAUUGUUUGGUUUUGA